rnacentral:rRNA from 1 species
GGGCUCGGAGAUGUGUAUAAGAGACAGGUAUAGGGGCUGACGCCUGCCCGGUGCUGGAAGGUUAAGAGGAGCGCUUAGCGUAAGCGAAGGUGCGAAUUGAAGCC